CUUCUGGUUUUUCAGUUUAAGAUAUCCAUGCUUAGCAUUUGAAAUCUUGCAGUAUCUUUUUUCCUUCUGACUGCACAUUCAGCAUUUCGGCUUAACUCUCAUUUCAGACUAAGGAGGUACCAUAUGUUUGAGAGCAAUUUGUUGAGAAUAGAUUAUUCUCUCUGCUGUAGAACAUACUACCGCUUGGUAUUAAUGGCUCCUAUAGGAGGUUUUUAGGUCAGCACAGUCUACAGUGUUGUAAAGUCGUGUGAAAACCUUUGGUGCUCAGCCUGACGUUCUUUCAAUGCCAAAUUCACCUUUCUACUGAACAGGGAAAAAAAGUGAGAAAUAUACAGGAAUGCAAAAAAAUCUCAGUAUGAUUUACUUGGAGGUGACUAUAUUUACAGAACACAAGAUGACCUAAUGAUCUGUUUGAAUCACUUAACGAGUGCCACAAUGCAUUUGCUUCCACAAAUUUUUCUGUUCCAGUGGGUUGCAAUUGCAGGGUGUUGUCCCCAUGACCACAGCUCCCAGUCAUUCAUGCCAAGCAACAUGACCUCUGUUACUCACAGACAUAGCUCCUGCAGUCAUGGAGAUCAAAAGAACAUCGCAGCCAUUCCAGCAUCUCUAGGCUAUGCCAGGCCAAAUGCUUGUGCCUUGGCCAGUUGGAUGUGUUCUGUGGCUGUGGAGGUUUUCUUGGAAAGCUGAAGGGGAAAGUAAAUUUAAUUGAACUCUCUCUUAGUUACUUGACCUUUCACAGUCUGUGUAUGUGGGGUCUUUCUAAUGCUCCAGAAUCCUAAUUAGCUUCUGCUGUCAUAAUUAUCUUUUUUUCUUCUUCAAUGCUCAAACAAUCUCUUUGGUUGCAUCCUGAGAGCUGAGGGCCACAAAAGAUAUUAAGUGGGCAGAGAACUUCAAUCAAAGCAUCACUGCUGUGCUGACUUCAUUCCACCCCAGUAUUAAAAAGAGAAAUCUGGAAAAUUAGAAUCAAAAACUGAAAGCAUCAUGGCUUCUCCAUACAUGUUCCUUUUAUUCUUUUGGCUCUAUUGGAUGUUCUAUGCACAUCUUUUGUUUUUCACAAUUAUUGUUAUCAUGGAAGCAGAUCAAAAGGACACUUUUUU
rnacentral:lncRNA from 1 species